AUUCUGCUAACUUCCUGGUGAGGCAGCUGCCUAACUAAACGGAGCAGCAGUGGUGCUGCGUCUGUUUACCAGAGGGGAGGGGGUACAACCUGAGGACAUCCCUGUAGCCACUCGGCCAGGAAGUGUGUCCACCCGCCAUAGAAUCUACAUGCACCUGCGCUGCUACAGCUGCCCCAACGAGCAGCGCUACAUCGUGCGCAUCCUCUUCAUCGUGCCCAUCUACGCCUUUGACUCCUGGCUCAGCCUCCUCUUCUUCACCAACGACCAGUACUACGUGUACUUCGGCACUGUCCGCGACUGCUAUGAGGCCUUGGUCAUCUAUAAUUUCCUGAGCCUGUGCUAUGAGUACCUAGGAGGAGAAAGUUCCAUCAUGUCGGAGAUCAGAGGAAAACCCAUUGAGUCCAGCUGUGUGUACGGCACCUGCUGCCUCUGGGGAAAGACUUAUUCCAUCGGAUUUCUGAGGUUCUGCAAACAGGCCACCCUGCAGUUCUGUGUGGUGAAGCCACUCAUGGCGGUCAGCACUGUGGUCCUCCAGGCCUUCGGCAAGUACCGGGAUGGGGACUUUGAUGUCACCAGCGGCUAC
rnacentral:sRNA from 1 species